GUGCCAGCAGCCGCGGUAAUACGGGGGGAACGAGCGUUGUUCGGAUUUACUGGGCGUAAAGGGCGUGCAGGCGGAUUCUCAAGUCGGAUGUGAAAACCGUAGGCUUAACCUACGGCCUGCAUCUGAUACUGUUAAUCUUGAGUACGGGAGAGGAAAGUGGAAUUCCAGGUGUAGCGGUGACAUGCGUAGAUAUCUGGAAGAACACCGGUGGCGAAGGCGGCUUUCUGGACCGAUACUGACGCUGAGGCGCGAAAGCCAGGGGAGCAAACAGGAUUAGAUACCCUGGUAGUCCUGGCCGUAAACGAUGGGCACUAGGUGUUGAGGGUAUCGACCCCCUCAGUGCCGCAGCUAACGCAUUAAGUGCCCCGCCUGGGGAGUACGAUCGCAAGGUUGAAACUCAAAAGAAUUGACGGGGGCCCGCACAAGCGGUGGAGUAUGUGGUUCAAUUCGAGGCAACGCGAAGAACCUUACCUGGGUUUGACAUGUACCGGACCGCGACUGAAAGGUCGCUUUCCCUUCGGGGACCGGUGCACAGGUGCUGCAUGGCUGUCGUCAGCUCGUGCCGUGAGGUGUUGGGUUAAGUCCCGCAACGAGCGCAACCUUUGUCCUUAGUUGCCAUCAGGUAAUGCUGGGAACUCUAAGGAGACCGCCGGUGAUAAGCUGGAGGAAGAUGGAGAUGACGUCAAGUCCUCAUGGCCCUUACAUCCAGGGCUACACACGUACUACAAUGGCCGGUACAGAAGGCUGCAAGACCGCAAGGUGGAGCCAAUCCGUAAAACCGGUCUCAGUUCAGAUUGAAGUCUGCAACUCGACUUCAUGAAGUUGGAAUCGCUAGUAAUCGCGAAUCAGCAGGUCGCGGUGAAUACGUUCCCGGGCCUUGUACACACCGCCCGUCAAGCCACGGAAGUUGGGAGCACCCGAAGUCGUUUGCCUAACCGUAAGGAGGGUGACGCCUAAGGUGAAACCGAUGACUGGGGCUAAGUCGUAACAAGGUAGCC
rnacentral:rRNA from 1 species